GGGCCUGUAGCUCAGGUGGUUAGAGCGCACGCCUGAUAAGCGUGAGGUCGAAAGUUCAAGUCUUUCCAGGCCCACCA
rnacentral:tRNA from 29 species